AUGUAAAUAAGACAAUUUUUAAAAAUGCAUCAUGUAUGAGCUGCAAUAUUUUCAUUUCUGUUUCUGUAUUUCAGAACGCAUAUGUAAUAAAUGUAAUUGUUAUGAAAUUGAAAUGGGGAAAAUUUGGGGAAGAUAAUAAGUGGAACAAAAAGAUCAUUAUGUUUUUUUUUAAACCAGGUAAACGACAUCAACAAGUAUAUAUACUGGAAAGUUGUGACAUCUACCACUGUGUUCAGGCAUCUCUGCUGUUUUUUCCACCCUGUUCUUACUUCCUAAUCCUUUUAGAGGUGAUGGUCUGACUGCUAGUCAUCAUUGGAUGCAGCACCAAGGGCUUAAUGUCCAACCAUCACUUAGAAACAGCCCUCUAAGUGCCUAGCCCUGUUUAAGGCACUUAGAUUACAUUAGAGAAAAAGCAGAAAAGACUCCUCCUGCCUUUUUAGAGCUUACAGUCUCACGGGGCAUGGGAAGACCUCAAACAUAAUUUACCAGAAUCAUAUAGUUAUCUAGGAAGUUCCUACAUAAAGAGGUGGGUAUGUGUGGGAAGAUAAGAGAGGCCAGACCACCAUAUUAAAUAGGGGUCAACUGUAGACAGACCCAGAGCAAAAAUUGAGAUGGAGAGAAGUUAAGGAGUCCAGGCCAGUGUUUAACUAAAAGGAGAGUCAAGGCUGGAGGAAACUCCCAGGCAGGGAUCUGGUGAGUGUAUGACUAUCUAAUGUGCAUGUAUGUCUGUGUCACAUAUGCAUGCCUGGUGUGCACAGAUAUCAGAAGACGACACCUGAUUUCCUGGAACAGGAGCUGAAGAUGAUUGGCAGCUUGCACACAUCCCUUCCCUAAGAGUAAUCAAAGAGAACUAAGAUCAAAAGAAUUACAGACAAAAAGUAAACCCCACUUUCAACUCAGUUGUUCUCUUGGACUUGCUAUUCCCUUGCCUCGAAACUCACAUGUGUGUGCGCGUGAUAGUCUAGAAGGGGAAGCCGAAGCAGGAGCUCGGGCAGGAACCUGGAAGCAGAAAGUGAAGCAGAAGCCACGAAGGACACUAUUUAUGGCUCCUUUCCUCUAGGUGUGUCAAGUUGACAACCAAAAUUAGUCCUGACACAGGUCUCACUAUACCUGAACUUGCUAUGUAGACCAGUCUGGCCUGUGACUCAUGGAGAUCUGUGUGCUUCUCCCUCCCAAGAGCUGGAAUGAAAGGACAGGACCACACAGGAGACCCAGGACCAGUUAAAGAUGGACACCAUGACUCCACUUCCUCCCUCUAGUUAAACAUUAACACAUGGACAUGCCAUUUCUGUGGUGAGCAGUGUGUGGGGCAUUUCAUCUGACAAUUGGACUGAACUCCGUCGGAUAUUUACUCGGAACAAAUAAAAACUUGUACGGACAGAAUAAAACAGAGCCCUCAAUGCAGGUAACUGACCAACUUCCAGGCCACUUCGACCGCAGUGACCCUAGCCAAUCCAAGUGCAGAAUUUAAGGACAAGCAGGAGGGGAAUUUUCACUUAUAGAAGCUUCUGGAAGUCCCAGCUGAACUGCAGCUGUGGUUGAUGUGCAAUGGCCUCGAGGUGACACACACUAAAUGGAGGGGGAGUUAGGUACGUUUCAAACCAGGAAGAGCGCAGGCAGUGAUGGUCACCCAUGGUUCUGGCGCUGCACUAAGUGUAUUAUCUCACUUAAGCUAUCCCUUUCUGGGUCAUUAGUAGCCCUGGAGCUGGGAUACUCAGUAAUACUUUUACUAUACAAUUAUUUACAGUAAAAAUGGCUGUAGGAAUGCUCCUGUACACUUGCUCCAGUGAUCUCAUGUGUGUACCUAUUUCACUCUGAUCUCUCAGCACAGUACCAGUGACAGACCUGAGCAAAGCAAUUAUCAGUGUAGAUAUUUAGGGCAUUUUCCCCCUUGGGGGCUGAGUGUGUGUGUGUGUGUGUAUGUGUGUGUAUGUGUGUGUAUUUCAGGUGAUUUCCUUGAUUUGAAUAACUUUUCGUGUGAAGAGUCUUCUGGCUAGCACACAAAGGCAGCAGCAUCCUUCAGGAGGCUUCAGGUCAAAUCACUCAGGACCAUGUGACUGCCCUGCCUGCAGACUCUGCUCCUUCCCCUGUGUAUUCCAUCACCCUGCCUCCUUUGGCCUCUGAGUCAUCUGGCCAAUUACACUACACACGGGACAGAAGCCCUCCUCGAUGAGACAUUGUGUUUGGUGCCCUGUCUGGCAGAGAGCCGCUGCUCAGUACAUCGAUGCUGACAGAAGCCUAGAAGCUGCUGCUGGUUUCCCUUGAAGGUCUAGGAAUUGCUUUUCUGAUAAGUGAAUAAUGAAGCCAGAGGAGAUUGCGUUGGGUUUCUGGAAUGGCCUGAGAUGGGCUCCACUAACCAAUGGGAGUAUUUUCUAUGGCCCAGCAAAGAAACAAAGGUUAUGAUCAGGUCUCAGAACUCUCUGAGCACACUAAAUUCAGCUGGUGAGGGAAAGUUUAAAAUGAGCUUAGAAAAGAGAAUUCAAGUAGAAGCCACAAAGCAGGUCUUCACCAGCAGGGACAGCCAGCGCUUAGUGUGCAGGCAUCACGGGAAGACAGAUACCCAUGACAUGGAGGCAGCAGCCAGGUGAUUACCUGUAAGCUUUGGUGGUGAGGAGCUCACAUCUUUUGGGUGUCUGGUUUUGACACCCUGGGUGCCGUCUGUACAAUACUCAGAAAGCACCCUAUUUCCAGGAAGUGCACACUGACUGCUGGUUCUUAGUCAUUUCUCCCCCACCCGCCUUUAUAGCUCACUGCUUUUUUGAAAAUUGAAAAAGUCAGAAAGCAAUGCUAAAAAAAAAAAAAAUUAGCAAACCGCAGCUGAAGGAAGGUACUAUUGGAAGAAGAGGAAGGGAAAAUAUCACGUUGACUCUGUUUCUAUGGUGCUUCGUGCUUGGGCGAGCACCCACCACGUGAAACCUGUGGGGUCCUGGAGGCGUUUGUGUAGCCAACACUGACGUUUCCUUUGCAUGACUUACACGGGCCACAAAAAUGAGUAUUGACUCCUUGGCCAGAAGCUGGAAAAGGUCAUGCCACAGGGAGGGAAGAAGGUUCAUCAAAAGGAAAACACACAUGCAACCCUGGCUUCCCUACACUCUGGAUUCUUCUUGCUGUCAGUUAACCCCUGCCUCUCUGGAGAGUCAGUCUCAGGUCCCAGAGGAGCUCGGGGUGAAGGAACAACUGAAGACUAAGAAUGGAGAUGGGAACACGCCAUCAUCUCCAGCCCGAAUGGAUUGCCUGGGAAGAGAUUUGGAGGCCUCUAUGAGACUCCAGGCUAUAUAUUUUGGGACCAGGCAAGAUGAUCAGGGCUUGGGAGGAAGGUGGGGGACCACAGAGAGGACUCAUGCUUCCUUUAAUUUUUUUUGAGGUUCUGAAAAAAAAAAAGGCAAAAUAAUCCUCAAAAUGAAGAUCUCUUCAGAAGGUAGUUAAACUGCUCUGCUUUGAAUCUGCAAUGUCCCCGAACAGGCUCAUGUUUUUGAAUACUUUGUGCUUAGUAGGUGGCAUAUUUAUUGAUUGGUUUAUUUAUUUGUCUGUUUAUUUAUUUGUCUGUUUAUUUAUUUUAUUUAUUUAGUGGUACCCAGGUACAUUGAUUACUUUUGUGUUGCUGUGAUAAAACACCAUACCCAAGGCAACUGAUCAAAGAAAGGGUUUAUUUGGGCUUACGGUUCCUAGGGGUAAGAGUCUAUGAUGUCAGAGACACAGGGCAUCAAGCCACAGGCCUGGAGGCAGAAGCAGGAUGCUGGGAGCUCGCAACCUUUACUGCAAGCAAGAAGCAGAGACAGCAAAUAGGAAGUGUGGUGCAUCUAUAAACACAUAAACAGGAAGUGUGGUGAGUCUAGAAACACAUAAACUCCACCCUUAGUGACCCAUUUCCUCCAGUAAGAGUCCACCUCCCCAAAUUUUCACAAACUCCUAAACAGCUAUCAUUCAAACCAACACACUAGGGUUGAAUCAAGGACUUUGAGGGUAUUAGGCAAGUGCAAUAACUCUGCCAUUAAAACAAAGAAACAGCAACAAAAACAAAACACUAAGUUGCCAAGGUAGGCCUUGAACUUGCCAUCCUCCUGUCUCAGCUUCUGAGCGGUUGGGAAUACAAGCCUGUAACAGCAAGCCUGUCCAGAAGCAAGCACCCAUGGUAUUAUUUUUAAGGCUCUGGAGUCCUUUCAUGGGGUGGGGGUGGGAUGUGGUGGGCAGGAAUUCCUCUCUAGGGGUAAGCGUCUGAAUAUCUGGCCCUGUUGUCAGCCCCUUGUCCUCUGCUUACUGAUUUGUGCCACAUGAGCCAGGCUCCAUUACAUACUCCUGGUCCCAUGACCGCAGCAAGGCCUUCCCUGUCAUGGUACAUUGGAACGUCUGCAUAGCCAGGAGCCAAAAUAAACCCUUCUCCCUUUGAGUAGUUUCUGUCCAGUAUAUAUAUGGUCACAGUAAUGCAAAACUUAGCAACAUAAAACAGACCUUUGAGAUCCAAGAAAGCAACAUAAAGCAACCCCACCAUUCACUUCCUAAAUCCAAGCUACCAAAAAUAAGAACUCAGAAUACAGUGCAGGUAGCAAGGAGGACCAAGGGGGCAGGUUCCUGUGUGGCAAUGGCUCUCUGUGACUCUGUGGAACCAGACAGUGUUAGAAGUCUGAAGCAUGGCCCUCCGUGAAGGAGGAGCCCCCUCCUUCCCACUCAAGAGCUUGGAGGGUUGAAACCUCCGCCAGACCAGCUACAAGGGAGGGUACUAUGCUUCUCCUGCUUUUGCUUUGGGCCUGGCCUAUGGCGUGGAGGGCGGGGCAGCCGAGGAUGAGCUGGCCUCUGCCUUCUGGCUCUGUGGGGCCUCUCAAACCCCAGGGUUUGUUCAGGAUGUUUUCUCUGACUCAUGCGUGGUGAUAACACAGGCAAGGACCUUGAAGCGACCCAGUCAGUAUUCGAGGAGGUUUUAGAUUUUUUUUUUUAACUACUGGGGGGUUUGGUUUCAGAAUUUGGAAAUUCCUUAAUAAAAGCACUAUAGUUUUGGCAGAACUGUCACCAUUCUGGGAGCCCAAACAGCAAACAGAAAGCUGAACCCUGCUGCCUCAGACCAAGGAGAGCUUUCCUAUUUGACUGUCUGUUGCUGUGUUUUAUUUAUUCACCCACGUAAUAUUUACUGAUCCCUUUCUAAGUGCCAAAACCAUUUUAGGUGCUGGAGCAAUAAUGCAGUUCUGGGCCCUAGUACCUGGUCUCUUCCUAAACAAAGCCUAUAGAGGUCUGUGUGUGUGUGUGUUGUGUGUGCAUAGCAGGAUGACGGAUCUAAGUGAAAUCACACCGCAAUGUAAAUAACUACAACACUGCGUGACAUAAAAAAGAGGUAAAUGGGCUAUCAAUAUAUAUUAUGGGAUAGGAUUUGUAUAGGUAGAUCUGUGAAAAAUACUUAACCUAGGGCCAGGUGUGUUCAUCUCAGGACUUGAAAGAAAUCCCAGCACAGUGAGUUCCAGACCAUCCAGAGGUUGUGUGUACGUGUGUGUGUGUGUGUGUGUGUGUGUGUGUGUGUGUGUGUUUGGGGGAAUUGGGCAUGAUGGAUAUGAUGGGAGAAGCCACUUUGGUUUAAAACCGUGAUAUGUGGAAAGGCCCUUCUAGAGGAAAGAGUGCAUAUAAAACUAGAAGCAGGGAUGGACAGCGGUGGUAGAUACUUGAAGUGGUACCUGAAGCAUGUGGGGUGUGGGCCAGGGAGACAUGGUUUGGUAGACAAGGAGCUUCUUAGGGCCUGGGAUUGUAGCUUGGUUGUUAGUAUGGUACUUCCCUCUCACGCAGAAGGCACUGUGCAUAAUACAGCGUAAAACUGAGAAUGGGACACAAGCUUGUAAUCCCGCUCUGGAUAGGUGGAGGGAGGAGGACCAGAAAUUCGAGGACGUCAUAGGCUACAUGGUGAGUUUCAGGCCCAUCUGUGCUACAGAAAAGAAGAACCACCCCUCUUAAAAGCAACAUGAAGUCACUGAAAGGCUUAACAGGGGCUUGGGGAGCUUUCUGUGGGGGAUGCCUGAAUUGCAUUUGCAUUUUGAAAAGAUGAUUCUGGCCGCCAAGUUAACAUCUUUUAAGGUAAUUUCUGCUCAGCAGAUCCAAUAAACACAUCAUGGAGGCGCUA